GGGCACUCAAGGUGACUGCCGGCUAAAAGUCGGAGGAAGGUGGGGAUGACGUCAAAUCAUCAUGCCCUUAUGACCUGGGCUACACACGUGCUACAAUGGGCGGUACAAAGGGUCGCGAACCCGCGAGGGGAGCCAAUCCCAAAAAGCCGCUCUCAGUUCGGAUUGCAGGCUGCAACUCGCCUGCAUGAAGCCGGAAUCGCUAGUAAUCGCGGAUCAGCAUGCCGCGGUGAAUACGUUCCCGGGCCUU
rnacentral:rRNA from 1 species